UACGUAGGGGGCAAGCGUUGUCCGGAAUUAUUGGGCGUAAAGCGCGCGCAGGCGGCCUGUUAAGUCUGAUGUGAAAGCCCCCGGCUCAACCGGGGAGGGCCAUUGGAAACUGGGAGGCUGGAGUCUAGGAGAGAAGAGUGGAAUUCCACGUGUAGCGGUGAAAUGCGUAGAGAUGGGGAGGAACACCGGUGGCGAAGGCGGCUCUUUGGCCUAUAACUGACGCUGAGGCGCGAAAGCGCGGGGAGCAAACAGG
rnacentral:misc_RNA from 1 species